GCCAACAUAGUUUAGUGGUUUGAGUAUUGGACUACAACUCUGCAGACCAGGGUUUGAAUCCCUGAUCAGCCA